UCAGCCAGCCGAGUCAAGCAAUUCUUAUUCCUUUACAGUUUUACUCAGGUUGAUAGAUUGAUGUUUUACUCAGGUUGAUAGAUUGAUGUUUUACACAGGUUGAUGUUUUACUCAGGUUGAUAGAUUGAUGUUGUACUCAGGUUGAUGUUUUACUCAGGUUGAUGUUUUACGCAGGUUGAUGUUUUACUCAGGUUGAUAGAUUGAUGUUGUACUCAGGUUGAUGUUUUACUCAGGUUGAUGUUUUACUCAGGUUGAUAGAUUGAUGUUUUACACAGGUUAAUGUUUUACUCAGGUUGAUAGAUUGAUGUUUUACACAGGUUGAUGUUUUACACAGGUUGAUGUUUUACUCAGGUUGAUGUUUUACUCAGGUUGAUGUUUUACUCAGGUUGAUAGAUUGAUGUUUUACACAGGUUAAUGUUUUACUCAGGUUGAUAGAUUGAUGUUUUACACAGGUUGAUGUUUUACACAGGUUGAUGUUUUACUCAGGUUGAUGUUUUACUCAGGUUGAUGUUUUACUCAGGUUGAUGUUUUACACAGGUUGAUGCUUUACUCGGGUUGAUGCUUUACUCGGGUUGAUGUUUUACUCAGGUUGAUGUUUUACACAGGUUGAUGUUUUACUCAGGUUGAUGUUUUACUCAGGUUGAUGUUUUACUCAGGUUGAUAGAUUGAUGUUUUACACAGGUUGAUGUUUUACUCAGGUUGAUAGAUUGAUGUUUUACACAGGUUGAUGUUUUACACAGAUUGAUGUUUUACACAGGUUGAUGUUUUACACAGGUUGAUGUUUUACUCAGGUUGAUGUUUUACUCAGGUUGAUAGAUUGAUGUUUUACACAGGUUGAUGUUUUACUCAGGUUGAUAGAUUGAUGUUUUACACAGGUUGAUGUUUUACACAGGUUGAUGUUUUACUCAGGUUGAUGUUUUACUCAGGUUGAUGUUUUACUCAGUUUGAUGUUUUACACAGGUUGAUGUUUUACUCAGGUUGAUGUUUUACUCAGGUUGAUGUUUUACACAGGUUGAUGUUUUACACAGGUUGAUGUUUUACUCAGGUUGAUGUUUUACUCAGUUUGAUGUUUUACUCAGGUUGAUGUUUUACUCAGGUUGAUGUUUUA